CCGGCAUCGCGUUUGAUGCCUUUGCUUUGUUUCUGUUUAUACAAACUUUUUAAUUUUGUAUUAUAGCUUCAUUUGAAACAUAGUACAAGUACGUAAAUAUAAUACCUAGACGUGUCUUGCUUGGUGCAGUUACGUAGGUAUGCUAAAAGGAACGUUGGAAGACCGAUGCGGCGCUUUAAAGACUGUGCUAAGCGAGACAUGUCUGCAUUUGAAAUCGACCACCAUACCUUAGCUAAAGACCGUGAUGGAUGGCGCAAGCGUGUAGUGGAGGGGAGAAGAUUAUGCGACCAAGCCUGGUUUAAGAUAGCAGAUAGCAGAAGGUGUCGCAGAAAGAAAGGACUGGAACCUCAGGUGGCAUGAGCUUUCUCUGCCCAAAAUGUGGGAGGUCGUGCCGCUCACGCAUCGGCCUCCACAGUCACCAAACCCGUUGUCUAAACAGCAAUGAAUAAAUCGUCUACAAUAGACGGAAAGACCCGUGAUGAUGACGUGAAUUGCCGAUGUAGUAACGGAACACUACUAAUCCUAAAAUCUACAUAUUAAUCUGACAGUGUCUACUGUUUGCCACUUCAGGACCCAGCCUCUAGCCACUAGAAGUAGCAAUGUAUGCAACAAGAGAGUGAAGAUGAAAUAGUCAAUGCAUCUCUGUACCACAAGUAAAAUAUUUUGAGUGGAAGAUGGUUGAGAUUGAUUCCUGUAUCGACGGACAGACACAUGCUAUGAAGAUUCUCUUAAAAAUAAUAAAAUACAAUUAAUAAAUUCAAUGUUUAACAUGA